CCUACGGGAGGCAGCAGUGGGGGAUAUUGCACAAUGGGGGGAACCCUGAUGCAGCGACGCCGCGUGGGUGAAGAAGCGCCUCGGCGCGUAAAGCCCUGUCAGCAGGGAAGAAAAUGACGGUACCUGAAGAAGAAGCCCCGGCUAACUAAGUGCAAGCAGCCGCGGUAAUACGUAGGGGGCAAGCGUUAUCCGGAGUUACUGGGUGGAAAGGGGGCGCAGACGGCGAGGCACGCCAGGAGUGAAAGCCCGGGGCCCAACCCCGGGACUGCUCUUGGAACUGCGUGGCUGGAGUGCAGGAGGGGCAGGCGGAAUUGCUGGUGUAGCGGUGAAAUGCGUAGAUAUCAGGAGGAACACCGGUGGCGAAGGCGGCCUGCUGGACUGCAACUGACGUUGAGGCCCGAAAGCGUGGGGAGCAAACAGGAUUAGAUACCCCGGUAGUC
rnacentral:rRNA from 1 species